rnacentral:rRNA from 1 species
CACGUAUUUAGCCGGAGCUUCUUAGUCAGGUACCGUCAUUAUCUUCCCUGCUGAUAGAGCUUUACAUACCGAAAUACUUCAUCGCUCACGCGGCGUCGCUGCAUCAGGGUUUCCCCCAUUGUGCAAUAUUCCCCACUGCUGCCUCCCGUAGGAGUCUGGGCCGUGUCUCAGUCCCAAUGUGGCCGGUCGCCCUCUCAGGCCGGCUACUGAUCGUCGCCUUGGUGGGCCGUUACCCCGCCAACAAGCUAAUCAGACGCGGAUCCAUCUCACACCACCGGAGUUUUUCACACUGUACCAUGCGGUACCGUGCGCUUAUGCGGUAUUAGCAGCCGUUUCCAACUGUUAUCCCCCUGUGUGAGGCAGGUUAUCCACGCGUUACUCACCCGUCCGCCACUCAGUCACAGAACAAUCAUCCCCGAAGGAAAUCAGGUAAAGUGCUUCGUUCGACUUGCAUGUAUUAAGCACGCCGCCAGCGUUCAUCCUGAGCCAGGAA